rnacentral:rRNA from 1 species
GAUGAACGCUGGCGGCGUGCUUAACACAUGCAAGUCGAGCGGCGCGGCGAACGGGUGAGUAACGCGUGAGUAACUGCCCCCCCCUCUGGGAUAACAGUUGGAAACGGCUGCUAUUACCGGAUAGUGGGGGGGGACUCGCGUCCUAUCAGCUUGUUGGUGGGGUAGUGGCCUACCACGGCGACGACGGGUACCCGGCCUGAGAGGGCGACCGGCCACAUUGGGCUGAGAUACGGGCCAAACUGCUACAGGAGGCAGCAGUGGGGAAUAUUGCACAGUGAGGGAAAGCCUGUUGCAGCAACGCCGCGGGCGGGAUGACGGCCUUCGGGUUGUAAACCGCUUUCAGCCAUGACGCGGUAGUGGCAGAAGAAGCACCGGCUAACUACGUGCCAGCAGCCGCGGUAAUUC